rnacentral:pre_miRNA from 2 species
AAAGUACUCCCUCCGUCCAGAAAUACUUGUCGAAGGAAUGGAUGUAUGUAGACGUAUUUUAGUUUUACAUACAUCCAUUUUUAUUUAUUUCUCCGACGAGUAAUUCCGGACAGAGGGAGUAUGAU